AUGAGAAAAUGAUGUUGGAAAUCCUGUCCUGCUGUUAUUAAACCUUUUUGACAUUGUCAUGAAAAAAUUCUUAGUGAAUUAAAACAACAGACCAAUUUCUAAUAAUCUGAUAUGACAUAAGAAACGAUAUAAUUGUCUUUGAGGUCAUAAAGAGUAAAAUUUCCGUAAUAUACAACUCUUGGUGUGUUUAUGUAUCAUGUCCUAAAAUAACCUAUUUGUUCUCCAUUUAGUUUUAUGUGCAGACAGAAACAUAAUUUAUAUAUUUCAUAAAAAAAUAACCUACAAGGCUUGACAUGGCUUCCCCGCUAAAAGACCAAACUGUGGCUAAGAAGCUGGUAGAGAACUUGCAGACUGAUUUAAGAGGACUCUCUGCAGAGGCAAAGAAGAAACACCCAAAUAUCAAAGAGAUUUCAGAAAAAAUUCAGUUAAAAUUGAGGACAAUAACUGCUAAAAAUGAAGGAAUCAUAGCAGGUUUAAUACCAGCUAGUGCAGAAAUUGUUCAACCCUUUGUAAUGGGAUGCGAUACUAAAAAUCCAAAAAUUAUGCAGAUUUGUUUAGGAGGUGUUCAGAGGUUAAUCUCACAUGAAGCAGUGUCAAUGACUGCUGCCGAUAGUGUUAUUAGUAUGUUAUGGCACCUAAUGGAAUCAGGACAAGAAGAGCUCAAAGUUUUACAGACAGCUAUUAUAUUAAUUACAACUAAUUCUGUUGUUCAGCACGAAUCAUUGGCCAAGGCACUGGUAUUAUGUUUUCGUCUCCACUUCACAAAAGACUCCACAACAAUCAACACAGCUGCUGCCACCAUCAAACAGUUAGUCAGUAUCGUGUUUGAAAGAGUGUUAUCAGAAGAUAGGGUCAAGUCUCAAGCUCCACUAGAACAAAUGAAACUUGAAGAAUUAAAGAUUGGAAGUAAAACACCACCACAUUCUUUACAGCCUUGUGGUGGUGAUGCCUACUUACUGUUUCAGGAUCUCUGUCAAUUAGUGAAUGCAGACCAGCCUUUUUGGUUAGUUGGGAUGACAGAAAUGACCAGAACAUUUGGUCUAGAACUCUUAGAAGCAGUUCUCACAUCAUUUCCUGAAAUAUUUCACACACAUUCAGAAUUUAGUUUUUUGCUGAAAGAAAGAGUAUGUCCACUGGUUAUUAAACUGUUCUCACCAAGUCUGAAAUACAGACAGGGGUUGCCUCCCCCUCCUUCGCCAGCACCAGUUGAGAAGCCAUUUUACCCAAUAGUGAUGAGGUUACUCAGAAUUGUCUCAUCAUUGAUAAAGAAAUACUACUCAUUAUUGACAACAGAAUGUGAAAUAUUCUUAUCACUGUUAGUGAAAUUUUUAGACCCUGAAAAACCUAGUUGGCAGAGAUGUUUAGCUCUUGAAGUCUUACACAAACUUAGUAUACAACCAGAGUUGAUAAGAUGUUUUUGUCAGAGUUAUGAUAUGAAACAACAUUCCACAAAAAUAUUUCGUGACAUGGUAAAUGGUUUAGGAUCAUAUAUACAGUCACAGUUUAUGACAACAUCUACUGGUCAGGGUUCUCAGAGUGGAAACAAAGCUCCUGAUAUACAAGGAACACCACCAGCCUUGGUAGGAGGAAUGCCUGUAGGAGGGGGUGUUACUCCACAAGCAGCUUUUAUGUACAGAGGAGUGUGGAUUCCUCUAGCAGUAACUGUGCCUCAGGGUCAAACUAAAUCUAUGUUAUUAGAGUUGUUAGACAGAGUUGACCCACCAGCUGUACAGGAUGGUUAUGGUAUGUCACUAGCCUUCUACAGUCUGUUGGAACUUAACAGAAGUGUACAGUUCAUUAUAGAGGGAGAAACUAAAGAUGUAACACCAGGAAAGAACAAACCUAAAGCCAAGAAACAAAUCACUGAUGAAGAAAGAAAGCUACAAGAAGAAUUGAUUAAUUCCUCAUGGUGUGGGAUGUUAGCUGCCUUUUCCUUACUAUUGGAUGCAAGUACUGAUGAAAGUGCAACAGAAGCUGUACUCAAGGCCAUGAAGACAUAUGCUAAUUUAUGUGGACAGCUUGAAAUGACAACACCUAGAGAUGCUUUUAUCACUGCCUUAUGUAAAGCCUCACUACCUCCUCAUUAUACACUGACGGUACUGAACUCACAGAGUAUAGCUCAGUCUGCCCAGAAAGGUCACCAAAGAUUUGCUAGUCAAGACUUACAGACUCAAGGAUCAGAGGCUAUAGAGAGGAGUCAGGUUGUAGCUGUUGGCUCUCCACUACCUACUGCAUCACUGCCUGUUGGAGCACACCAAGGACCAGUUAUGUUAACAGCUAAAAAUAUCCAAUGUAUGAGGUCACUGCUAUCAGUGGCACACUGCCAUGGUGGCAUACUAGGUACAGCGUGGCAUUUAGUACUGACCACACUUCAGCAUUUAGUAUGGAUAUUAGGGUUGAAACCAUCGUCUGGUGGAACUCUGAAAUCUAGUCAGAACACUACAGAAAGUAGCAAUGCUGUUAUAACAACUGCUGUCAUGGCUGACCUUCCUGUACUGUCUGCCAUGUUGUCUAGACUCUUUGAAAGCUCACAGUACUUGGAUGAUGUAGCACUCCACCAUCUGAUAGAUGCUCUGUGUAAAUUGUCAGCCGAGUCAAUGGAGUUGGCCUUCUCUAACAGAGAACCAUCAUUAUUUGCAGUAGCCAAGCUGUUAGAAACUGGUUUAGUAAAUCUGUCUCGUGUUGAAGUGCUCUGGAGACCCGUAACAGCCCACCUUUUGGAGGUAUGUGUUUACAAAGUUUUAAGAUUUGUGAUCAACUUGUGACUUAUGUGAAAUGUUUCAGAUUGUAUGAAUGUUCUCAUUAAUAUAAGAAUAUCAUUUUCAUUUAGAAAUCAACUUGAUUUUUUGGAAAAUGCUCUCUAUUUCCUGGUACAUGUAAUUAAUUUUCAUGCAAAGAGCUUUAAAAAAAAAUAUAGAUAUUCAAAAACUAUUUUGGAUAUACAGUGUUAUGUAUAGCUGUAAUUUGAACAUUCAUACAUUUUUGAAAUGCAUGCAAUUAAAGAGAAGAAAUGCCUGUUUAUUUAAUUAAUUUGAAAAAUAUAACCUUUGAAAUUGAACUGAGUAUAAGCAUGGAGAAGAAUGGUAGUUUGGUGAAGAUCAGAUUCAGCAUAUGAAGACACAGUCAAGAACAGACUUGAGGUAGACAGCACUGUUGGUAUGGCAGAAUUGGUUGCAUUGUAGCAAAAAAAGGGGGGUUGACAGAAUGGAAGGAAUCUGCAGAUAUCAAGUUAAAAUUUAAAAGCUUUGAAAAUUAGAUUGAAAGAGUCCAUAGAGAAAGAAGUAAAUAAAAGAAAAUACAGGCCAGAAGCCAGUCUUGAUACAGGUGCCACAGUAGAGUUGGAAUGAAAAGAGAAGGAAUUGAAAAAAACAUUUGCAGAGCAGCAGAAGACAGCCAAGCAGAAAAAGAACUGUGUAAUUGUUUAUGGUUCUUAAAGAAAAUGACCUGAAUUUUAAAAGAAAUAGAGGAACAGCAAAUAGCAGAAUGUUCAGCACAGUAAGAUCUACAAUUGGUUAGAAAUGUAAUGAAGAAAAAAGAGUAAGAUGACAUAUCCCUUGAAACAUUCCACUUGUAUGUACAGAUUUCUGGAUCAAGUUUUACAAUGUACUAAAAUCCAAGACUAUUGAAUUAACAGAAAGAAGUUUUUUGUGAGAUCUGUUUGUAGACAGACAGAAAUUGAUCAAGUGAUCUGAAAAAGAUUGUGUUCUUUCUGUGAGAUAUGGUUGACUUUUCAUUAGGUCAAACAGCCAAAUCAGGGAAAAGCAAGAAAAUAUCAGAUUGAAAAAAAAAGUUCUUCCAUUUGGAUAUCAAAACCGGGAAUGCAUGACAUAUGAUGAAACCGAUAUCCUCGUCUUUCCAGUGGGCAAGUCUACUUCGUUUUUUACAUGGAGAAUUAUGAUACUACUACCCUAAAAAGGUUGUUAUCUACAGGAAAAAGGAUGAAAAAACAGGAAAAAGAUUACUGUACCUGCCAAAUUAAGUAAAAAAUAUAUACUUUUUCGCCCCUUCCAUCAGUUCAUUAGUCUGUCCAACCAUGCAUAGCUUUAUUGUUGCCUCAUGCUUAAGCCCCUUCAUUUUUUG